rnacentral:rRNA from 1 species
AAUCAACGCUGGCGGCGUGCCUCAGACAUGCAAGUCGAACGAUUAAAGCUCUCUUCGGAGAGUGUAUAGAGUGGCGCACGGGUGAGUAACACGUAAGUAAUCUACCCUCGGGUGGGGAAUAACAUCGGGAAACCGAUGCUAAUACCGCAUAAUGCAGCGGCUCCUAAUGGAGACAGUUGUUAAAGGAUUUAUUCGCCUGAGGAGGAGCUUGCGGCAGAUUAGCUAGUUGGUAAGGUAAUGGCUUACCAAGGCUACGAUCUGUAGCCGGUCUAAGAGGACGGUCGGUCACACUGACACUGAAUAACGGGUCAGACUCCUACGGGAGGCAGCAGUCGGGAAUUUUGGGCAAUGGGCGAAAGCCUGACCCAGCAACGCCGCGUGAAGGAUGAAGUAUUUCGGUAUGUAAACUUCGAAAGAAUAGGAAGAAUUAAUGACGGUACUAUUUAUAAGGUCCGGCUAACUACGUGCCAGCCGCCGCCGUAACACCUGAGACUCCAAGGCA